GCCUCAGAAGCCCGACGGCCGGGCAGCUGUCUCUAAAACAGCCCGUAGCGGGUUCGACUCCCGUCUGAGGCGC
rnacentral:tRNA from 1 species